GAGUUUGAUCCUGGCUCAGGACGAACGCUGGCGGCGUGCCUAAUACAUGCAAGUGGAACGCAUGAUUGAUACCGGAGCUUGCUCCACCAUUAAUCAUGAGUCGCGAACGGGUGAGUAACGCGUAGGUAACCUACCUCAUAGCGGGGGAUAACUAUUGGAAACGAUAGCUAAUACCGCAUAACAGUCUUUGACACAUGUUAGAGACUUAAAAGGAGCAAUUGCUUCACUAUGAGAUGGACCUGCGUUGUAUUAGCUAGUUGGUGAGGUAAAGGCUCACCAAGGCGACGAUACAUAGCCGACCUGAGAGGGUGAUCGGCCACACUGGGACUGAGACACGGCCCAGACUCCUACGGGAGGCAGCAGUAGGGAAUCUUCGGCAAUGGGGGGAACCCUGACCGAGCAACGCCGCGUGAGUGAAGAAGGUUUUCGGAUCGUAAAGCUCUGUUGUUAGAGAAGAACGUGUGUGAGAGUGGAAAGUUCACACAGUGACGGUAACUAACCAGAAAGGGACGGCUAACUACGUGCCAGCAGCCGCGGUAAUACGUAGGUCCCGAGCGUUGUCCGGAUUUAUUGGGCGUAAAGCGAGCGCAGGCGGUUCUGUAAGUCUGAAGUUAAAGGCAGUGGCUUAACCAUUGUACGCUUUGGAAACUGCAGGACUUGAGUGCAGAAGGGGAGAGUGGAAUUCCAUGUGUAGCGGUGAAAUGCGUAGA
rnacentral:rRNA from 1 species